GACAGAGGGUGCAAACGUUGUUCGGAUUUACUGGGCGUAAAGCGCGUGUAGGCGGCUUGGCAAGUUGGAUGUGAAAGCCCACGGCUCAACCGUGGAAGAGCAUCCAAAACUGCUUCGCUCGAGUCUCGGAGAGGAAGGUGGAAUGCUUGGUGUAGAGGUGAAAUUCGUAGAUAUCAAGCAGAACACCUGUGGCGAAGGCGGCCGACUGGGCCGACCCUGACGCUGAGGCGCGAAGGCGUGGGGAGCGAACGGG
rnacentral:rRNA from 1 species